rnacentral:rRNA from 1 species
CCUACGGGGGGCUGCAGUGGGGAAUAUUGCACAAUGGGGGAAACCCUGAUGCAGCAACGCCGCGUGAGCGAUGAAGGCCUUCGGGUCGUAAAGCUCUGUCCUAAGGGAAGAAUACUGACGGUACCUUAGGAGGAAGCCCCGGCUAACUACGUGCCAGCAACCGCGGUAAUACGUAGGGGGCUAGCGUUAUCCGGAAUGACUGGGCGUAAAGGGGGCGUAGGCGGCCCUUCAAGUCAGAGGUGAAAGGCUACGGCUCAACCGUAGUAAGCCCUUGAAACUUUAGCGCUUGAGUGCAGGAGAGGUGAGUGGAAUUCCCAGUGUAGCGGUGAAAUGCGUGUAUAUUGGGAGGAGCUCCAGUUGCGAAGGCGGCUCUCUGGACUGUAACUGUCGCUGAGGCACGAAGUCGUGUGGCGCGAACAGGAUUAGAUACCCCUGUAGUC